ACAGAGCUGAACGGUUUUCUGCAGGACACCACUAAGCAGGAGAGAAUGACAAGCUGGAUGAUGAUAUAAAUAUUUGGAAUUAGGACAACAUACAAGAUUAGGGCUGGCCAGCCCCUGGACUAUGCCAUGUGUGCAUAUACAGGCUCCUAGGAUGAACAUCCUCAAAUCCCAACCUCUCUCCCAGAAGCUGUGUCUCUACAGAACUGUGUUGGCCGAGACUGCUCUCAACUGAAUUGGGCCCAGCUCAGAGAGGCAGCUGCUGGGUAUCAACUCAGCUUCCAGGCCAUUGUAGAAAACAUAGAACCAGCCAGGAAGCCAGACUCCUGUCCUGCCCCUGCAGCCCCUGGGCCAUCGCGAAGAUCAACUCCUAGCCAGAGCCCACGUUCUGAAGUUGCUUGAGUUUGGACUAUCCAGCAGAACACAGAUGCCACAGCAGCGGGCCGGUCACAGAACACUAAGGCUCAUUCAUUUGAAAAAGUUUCCAACUUUUAGCUCAGCAUUUGGUACAUAAAAGACACACCACAAAUAUCUUUUGAGUCG
rnacentral:lncRNA from 1 species